GACAGAGGGUGCAAACGUUGUUCGGAAUCACUGGGCGUAAAGCGCACGUAGGCGGAUUGCUAAGUCAGGGGUGAAAUCCUGGAGCUCAACUCCAGAACUGCCUUUGAUACUGGCGAUCUCGAGUCCGGGAGAGGUGAGUGGAACUGCGAGUGUAGAGGUGAAAUUCGUAGAUAUUCGCAAGAACACCAGUGGCGAAGGCGGCUCACUGGCCCGGUACUGACGCUGAGGUGCGAAAGCGUGGGGAGCAAACAGG
rnacentral:rRNA from 1 species